AUACGUAGGGGGCGAGCGUUGUCCGGAAUGAUUGGGCGUAAAGGGCGCGUAGGCGGCGCGGUAAGUCUGGAGUGAAAGUCCUGCUUUCGAGGUGGGAAUUGCUUUGGAUACUGCCGCGCUUGAGUGCAGGAGAGGUUAUCGGAAUUCCCGGUGUAGCGGUGAAAUGGGUAGAGAUCUGGAGGAACACCAGUGGCGAAGGCGAGUCUCUGGUCUGUAACUGACGCUGAGGCGCGAAAGCGUGGGGAGCGAACAGGAUUAGAUACCCUGGUAGUCCACGCCGUAAACGAUGAGUGCUAAGUGUUAGGGGGUUUCCGCCCUUUAGUGCUGCAGCAAACGCAUUAAGCACUCCGCCUGGGGGGUACGGUCGCAAGACUGAAACUCAAAGGAAUUGACGGGG
rnacentral:rRNA from 1 species